GCUGGGCAUGGUGGUGCAUGCCUGUAGUGCCAGCUACUCAGCAGGCUGAGGCAGGAGGAUUGCUUGAGCCCAGGAGUUGGAGGCUGCAGUGAGCUAUGAUCAUGCCACUGCACUCCAGCCUGAGCAGCAGAGUGAGAUCCUGUCUUAA
ensembl:misc_RNA Metazoa_SRP Metazoan signal recognition particle RNA